UACGAAGGGGGCUAGCGUUGUUCGGAAUCACUGGGCGUAAAGCGCACGUAGGCGGAUAUGUAAGUCAGGGGUGAAAGCCCAGGGCCUAACCUUGGAACUGCCUUUGAAACUACAUAUCUAGAGACUCGGAGGGGAUAGCGGAAUUCCAAAUGUAGGGGUGAAAUCCGUAGAUAUUUGGAGGAACACCGGUGGCGAAGGCGGCUAUCGGGACGAGUACUGACGGUGAGGUGCGAAAGCGUGGGGAGCAAACAGG
rnacentral:rRNA from 1 species